rnacentral:tRNA from 1 species
GUUCUUGUAGUUGAAUAACAACGGUGGUUUUUCGAGUCAUUGGUUUCGGUUAGAGUCCGUGCAAGAAUU